rnacentral:rRNA from 1 species
CCCUUCGACGUCCGGGGCCGCACGCGCGCUACACUGAAGGAAUCAGCGUGGCUUUCUCCCUGACCCGAAAGGGUUGGGAAACCCGUUGAAUCUCCUUCGUGAUAGGGAUUGGGGCUUGAAAUUGUUCCCCAUGAACGAGGAAUUCCCAGUAAGCGCGAGUCAUAAGCUCGCGUUGAUUACGUCCCUGCCCUUUGUACACACCGCCCGUCGCUACUACCGAUUGAACGGUUUAGUGAGGGCCUCGGAUUGGUCUCGGCCCGCUCUUUACCGGGCGGCGCCGUUGGUCGAGAAGACGCUCGAACUUGAUCGUUUAGAGGAAGUAAAAGUCGUAACA